UACGUAGGGAGCGAGCGUUGUCCGAAGUUACUGGGCGUAAAGCGCGCGUAGGCGGGCCAUUAAGUGAGAGGUGAAAUUCCAGGGCUCAACCCCGGAACUGCCUCUCAUACUGUUGGUCUUGAGUGAGGUAGAGAGAAGUGGAAUGGCUGGUGUAGCGGUGAAAUGCGUAGAUAUCAGUCGGAACACCGGUGGCGAAGGCGGCUUCUUGGGCCUUUACUGACGCUGAGGCGCGAAAGCCAGGGGAGCGAACGGG
rnacentral:rRNA from 1 species